AUUAUACUCCCUCCGUCCCAAAAUAAGUGACUCAAGUUUGUACUACAAAGCUAGUACAAACUUGAGUCACUUAUUUUGGGACGGAGGGAGUACAAU
rfam:Triticum aestivum genome assembly, contig: Triticum_aestivum_CS42_TGACv1_scaffold_501110_6BL